CAAUUUGGGCUCAUGACCUUGGUAAGGGGGCUCUCCUAAAAAGAAAAGGUUGAAGUUCAAUUGCCAAUUCUCCUUUCUCUCUCUAAAACCCCCUUUUCCCAAAUUCGUUUCUGCCUUCUCUCUAGCCUCCACACUGAUUUAGCCAUUGCAUGUUCUGUUAGGUGGUACCCUAGCGACCGUCUCGUAGAAAGCUUCAAAACCAUCCGAUUGAUUUUACGUUCUUCAACCGGGCACUGCUUAAGUUCUUCCCGGAGUAGGAUACUGUUGAAAGUUGUGUUGUGUGCUAGACUGCUCAACUUUAAGUAGGUGAUGAUGUACCUUUGGAGCAAGCUUUGGAAGUUGAGGAAGACCCAGCCCCUAGUGCU